rnacentral:rRNA from 1 species
UACAGAGGAUGCAAGCGUUAUCCGGAAUGAUUGGGCGUAAAGCGUCUGUAGGUGGCUUUUUAAGUCCGCCGUCAAAUCCCAGGGCUCAACUCUGGACAGGCGGUGGAAACUACCAAGCUGGAGUACGGUAGGGGCAGAGGGAAUUUCCGGUGGAGCGGUGAAAUGUGUAGAGAUUGGGAGGAACACCGGUGGCGAAGGCGGGUCUCUGGGCCGUAACUGACGCUGAGGAGCGAAAGCGUGGGGAGCGAACAGG